rnacentral:rRNA from 2 species
UGAGGAAUAUUGGUCAAUGGUCGAAAGACUGAACCAGCCAUGCCGCGUGAAGGUCACGGCCCUAUGGGUCUUAAACUUCUUUUGUCAGGGAGCAAUAAGUCUCACGUGUGGGAGGAUGAGAGUACCUGACGAAUAAGCAUCGGCUAACUCCGUGCCAGCAGCCGCGGUAAUACGGGGGAUGCAAGCGUUAUCCGGAUUUAUUGGGUUUAAAGGGUGCGUAGGCGGUAUUGUAAGUCAGCGGUGAAAUUUCUGAGCUUAACUUAGAACGUGCCGUUGAUACUGCAGUACUAGAAUGCGGAUGCCGUGGGAGGAAUGUGUGGUGUAGCGGUGAAAUGCAUAGAUAUCACACAGAACACCGAUUGCGAAGGCAUCUCACGAAUCCGCAAUUGACGCUGAGGCACGAAAGCGUGGGGAUCAAACAGG